GACGAACGCCGGCGGCGUGCUUAACACAUGCAAGUCGAACGAAGAGCGAUGGAAGCUUGCUUCUAUCAAUCUUAGUGGCGAACGGGUGAGUAACGCGUAAUCAACCUGCCCUUCAGAGGGGGACAACAGUUGGAAACGACUGCUAAUACCGCAUACGAUCUAAUCUCGGCAUCGAGGAUAGAUGAAAGGUGGCCUCUACAUGUAAGCUAUCACUGAAGGAGGGGAUUGCGUCUGAUUAGCUAGUUGGAGGGGUAACGGCCCACCAAGGCGAUGAUCAGUAGCCGGUCUGAGAGGAUGAACGGCCACAUUGGGACUGAGACACGGCCCAGACUCCUACGGGAGGCAGCAGUGGGGAAUCUUCCGCAAUGGACGAAAGUCUGACGGAGCAACGCCGCGUGAGUGAUGACGGCCUUCGGGUUGUAAAGCUCUGUUAAUCGGGACGAAAGGCCUUCUUGCGAAUAGUGAG
rnacentral:rRNA from 1 species